CAGGACAUUCCCAGCCCCAUAUGUGAGAGACUGAAAGGAUUGCUGGCUUGAAAUAUUUCACAUGAUUUUGCAUGGAAGAAGGGGCAGCUUGGGCUCUGCCCUGUCAAAGCCCAUAGAGAUUCAUUGGUUCAGUGAUGAUCAGUCCCAAGUUAUGCCAGAUGGCUGGAAGUCCCACCAGGACCCAGAAAAGUCAAAGGAUAUUUAAUCUGAGACACAAGGCAAGCACGUGUCUUGACCCUACCUGUUCUUGGAAUUUCUAGAUGCUGAACACCAUUGGAACCAGAAAUGGAUGGCAUGAAGACAAGUCAAAAGUCGAGCCAAGCAAAAAAAUUCCCGGAACAUGUAAACCCACAGGAAUGUUUGAAUAUGUAUAGUCCUCAUGAAUAUGCAUUUAACCGAUGUAAUGAAAAAAUAUGUAAGAAAAUUGUUUUAAGUUAAUGGGCUUCUCCUGGCAGUUUGCCAAGCACCUCAGCACUGGGUACUGUCUCUUUUAUCCCUUAUUAAACUUUAAAAAAUUUUCAAGCGUGAGCCUUGUUUCUCACAUCCACUGACAGAGCUGCUAAAAGCUUAUAAACAUUGUCCAACCUCAUAAAGAGGGAUGUGGGAUAAGGAAAAUUGGCAAAAUCUGCAGUUAGUUGCAGAGAAAACUUGAAGUUUGGCAAAAGAUGGGGGAAAACCCCAGCAAGGGAAAAGGCCUGGUAUCCAUACCAGUGGAGGCUGGACUCAA